rnacentral:lncRNA from 1 species
AAAUCUUAGCUGCAAAAGAAUAGAAAAAGAAGAAGUAAAGGUCAGAGAAAUGGAUAAACACUUAAAUAGAAUUAACACCUGAAGAAAUAUGUAAAAACCCUAAUGGAACAAAUGUUACAGGUACAACUUACAAACACACGAAGACCAGAAUUAACACAUGGAUAGACAAUAAUCUUUACCUCUUUGACUUUUUCUGCAACAAGUGAAGAGAGACGCCAGGGGUUUUGUUCGAGUUUUUUUUUACUGCAAGUAUAUUAGAUGAGAUGUAGAUGAGUGGAUGGGUGUGGAGAUGUGGUUUAUUUGUUUAUUGAUCGGCUAGAGAAGAGACAUAUGCUGAGGGUAAGAGGCAGAGAAGAUGGAGAUUGAAGGGGAAAGUAGGAAGGUGAGAAGACUUUUUGGUCUGGGUGUGGGCAGCAGCUAAGAAAGUGAAUGGUAAUGUAAUUUAGGUUUAGGUUUAUUGUACUAUUUAU